GCAGGGGCGGGGCCUACGGGGUGGUGAGCGGGCCCUCUGCUGGUGGGGGGGCGGGGCCGGAGGAGCCACCGCCUCCCCGCCUCCUGGGGACCCUGAGGGAGAAAUUCCCUUUAGGGCUGAAUGCUUGGGCAAGUGACACGUGGUUUUCCUACUGUCGCCCCAACCUUAAAAGAACGAAUCCAGGCGGGGCAUUAGGGUUGUUUUUUUGGUAGAAACAAGGUCUCGCUAUCUUGCCCAGGCUGGCCUUGAACUCCUGACCUCAAGUGAUCCUCCGGCUCCCAAAGUGCUGGGAUUACAGCCUGUCAUCUUUUAGAGCUGUGUCUCCAGCCCAGGCCUGUCCUCCGAGUGCCGCCUGCCAACAUCUCCACGCAGAUGCCUCUUAUGCACCUCAAGCUCUUGCUUUCUUCAAAUCUGUUCCCCGCCACCGACUUCCCCAAACCUCAGUCCAUACAAUCAUUCAAGCCAGAAAGUAGGAGUCAUCUUGAUUCUGAUGGGGUUCAGAACACCAUAUCCCAAAAUAUAGCACCAUGGCAUUUGGAAAACAGCAAAAGCAGGAAGGUCACUUUCUGACUUCCUCCUGCCCUUCUCCCCUGAAGCAGACCAUGAAAGAAUCAUCUGACCUUCCUCUGAAGAAGGCCCUCAUUCCAGGGGUGCCCAGCCUGUACCCAGAGGAGAGGAAUGUCCUUAUGUCUGGAGACACAGGGAUACAGAGAGGAAUAUGAACAAACAGGCCUUGCUAAGUUCCCUCAGUUUAUUGCCAUUAGAUCACAUCCCCUUUGUCCAGUCAUACUGCUGCAUGACUGUCCACUCCAUCAAAACUAAGCAUGAAAAGACACAGGGUUCCCUGUUCCUUUGGGUCUUCAUCUGUGGAUGCGUCCAUGCCGUGUAAAAUAUAUUCAAUAAAUGUGUAUGAUUUUC